UCGAGAAUCUUUCGCAAUGGGGGAAACCCUGACGAAGCGACGCCGCGUGCAGGACGAAGGCCUUCGGGUUGUAAACUGCUGUCGGCUGGGAAGAAUAAGCUGCAUGUUAACAGCAUGUAGCCUUGACGGUACCAGCAAAGGAAGCCACGGCUAACUCUGUGCCAGCAGCCGCGGUAAUACAGAGGUGGCGAGCGUUGUUCGGAUUUAUUGGGCGUAAAGGGUCCGUAGGCGGUUCGGAAAGUCAGAUGUGAAAUCCCACAGCUCAACUGUGGAACUGCAUUUGAAACUUCCGGACUAGAGUGUGAGAGGGGUAAGGGGAAUUCCCGGUGUAAGGGUGAAAUCUGCAGAGAUCGGGAGGAACACCAGUCGCGAAGGCGCCUUACUGGCUCACUACUGACGCUCAGGGACGAAAGCUAGGGGAGCAAACGGGAUUAGAUACCCCCGUAGUCC
rnacentral:rRNA from 1 species